UCACUCAGCCAUCAGUGUCAAGACCUGCAUUAGAGGAAAAUCUUGUUCUUGGUGUUGCUUUGCAGGGCUCAAAGAGAACCCUUCCCAUUGAGGAGGGCAUGGCUUCCCAUUUGACUCUAGAAGAGGCAAAGGAAAUGGCUGCUGCAGGCAGAAAUGGAGCUGCAUCUCCAACUGGUGAGAAGGAUAGGAAAGAUGGUCAAAGUCCAACCCCUCCUAGUUCUACAUCUGCCGACCAGUGAAAAUUACAUGAAUUGAUCUUUGCCGAUAUGCCAACUUUUGCCCCUCUGAACUGCUAACUUCUUGUUCUUGAACCUCCACUUCAAAGCUUUUUCAUACAUUGUACAAGUUCUACUCUUCAUGAUUAGUGCAGGACGUUGCCGAUACAGCAUAUAGAAAUGCACCAUUUUCUAAGCUUCGAAUGAUAUUAUUGGUAAAUUAAUCAGUUGAAGCUUAGAAAAUGGUGCAUUUCUAUAU
rnacentral:misc_RNA from 1 species